rnacentral:sRNA from 1 species
AGGAGGCAGGAUGACCAUCCGCCAGCGCGUUGCGCCCGCGGAUGAGGGAACG